rnacentral:rRNA from 1 species
UACGUACGAGGCGAGCGUUAUCCGGAAUUAUUGGGCGUAAAGCGCGCGCAGGCGGACGCUAAGUAGGGCGUGAAAUCUCCCGGCCUAACUGGGAGGGGUCGCCCUAAACUGGGCGUCUUGAGGACGGCAGAGGUUGGUGGAAUUCCUGGUGUAGUGGUGAAAUGCGUAGAGAUCAGGAGGAACACCGGUGGCGAAGGCGGCCAACUGGGCCGUCACUGACGCUGAGGCGCGAAAGCUCGGGGAGCGAACGGG